GACAGAGGGUGCAAACGUUGUUCGGAAUUACUGGGCGUAAAGCGCGUGUAGGCGGCCCGGAACGUCGGAUGUGAAAGCCCUGGGCUUAACCUAGGAAGUGCAUUCGAAACUCCCGUGGCUUGAGUUCUGGAGAGGGAAGCGGAAUUCUCGGUGUAGAGGUGAAAUUCGUAGAUAUCGAGAGGAACACCGGUGGCGAAGGCGGCUUCCUGGACAGUGACUGACGCUGAGACGCGAAAGCGUGGGGAGCAAACAGG
rnacentral:rRNA from 1 species